GUGCGUAGGCGGUCUUUCAAGUCAGGAGUGAAAGGCUACGGCUCAACCGUAGUAAGCUCUUGAAACUGUAAGACUUGAGUGCAGGAGAGGAGAGUGGAAUUCCUAGUGUAGCGGUGAAAUGCGUAGAUAUUAGGAGGAACACCAGUUGCGAAGGCGGCUCUCUGGACUGUAACUGACGCUGAGGCACGAAAGCGUGGGGAGCAAACA
rnacentral:rRNA from 1 species